CAGCUCUUCCUUAGACCAAAAGCCAGGGACCAGUUGCAACACCUUCAUUACUGUUUUACAUAAUACACCAACACUUUUACCUGUUCCCAAGCAAGUGGUGGCUGAAGCAUGUGCAGACAGUGAAGAAACCCUCUCAGAUGACUGUCCUUUUGGAGGAAGUAUUUGAGGAAAGGCCAGACAGGCCUACAGACAGGCCUACAGCACAAAGUGAU